rnacentral:rRNA from 1 species
AUACGUAGGUGACAAGCGUUAUCCGGAUUUACUGGGCGUAAAGGGCGUGUAGGCGGUCUUGCAAGUCAGAAGUGAAAUUCCUGAGCUCAACUCGGGCGCUGCUUCUGAAACUGCAGGACUUGAGUGCUGGAGGGGAUAGCGGAAUUCCUAGUGGAGCGGUAAAAUGCGCAGAUAUUAGGAAGAACACCGGUGGCGAAGGCGGCUAUGUUGACAGUAACGGGCGCUGAGGCGCGAAAGCGUGGGGAGCAAACAGGAUUAGAUACCCGGGUAGUCCACGCCGUAAACGAUGAAUACUAGGUGUAGGGGGUAUCGACUCCCUCUGUGCCGCAGUUAACACAAUAAGUAUUCCGCCUGGGGAGUACGGCCGCAAGGUUGAAACUCAAAGGAAUUGACGGGG